GGAGGCGCGAGCGCAGGCGAGCAGGAGAGGCCUGGGACCCGGCGCGCCCCCUCGCGGGCAGGUGUGGCGUGGCAGCGGCUCUCACUUGGACGCCACAGGGUCUGGGCUGCGAGAGCUGCGGGCGGAGCCAGGCACCUGGCCCCGAGCUCCUGGCCCCCACGCCGCCCACUCCGGGAGGUCUGGAGCGGGGUCGGCGACUCUGAGUGGCUCCAGGAUCUGGGACAGAAGAAAGCAGAUCAGCCCAGGUGAGAGGAGGACAUCGGGACGCCCAGUUCCACCAUGAACUUUGAAGCAGCCAGCCCCUGGCAGCCGCCACUGUACUUCCUGUCUCCAUGAAUAUGACUACUCUAGGUAACUCAUGAGAGGAAGCCACACCAGGAGUGCACAGAGAAAAGGCCAAUGAGGACACAGCGAGAAGGCGCCACCUGCAGGCCAAGGAGAGCGGCCUCGGGAGAAACCAAACCUGGCGACACCUUGCUCUGAGACUUCCAGCCUCCAGAACCGUGAGAAGAUCCGGUAAAGGGUGGCCCGCCUCUCGCUGUCCUUCCGCAACAUAAAGAACCCGGAGUCCUUUUCCUCAGGAGAAGGGGGAGCACUGUGAUCUUCAAAAUUCUCAUCUGGAAUGCUGCAAUAAUUCACACAGCACAAAUCACACUUUCCUUUAUAAGGAUUUGGCUCUUGUUUUGAAAGAGAAGGGGUCCACCUUGAGUUCAGUGUCAGGAGAAACUGAGCCGUAUUCACUGCUGCUGCUCGUGUCCUCCACCAGGACAGGGACUGGCAAGGAUAUGCUCCUAAGGUUUAUCCUCCAGACCUCAUCAUUACGUAGCAGUAGCUCAAGUUCAUGUUCACAUACACCUGCACAUGUCUGCUCUCAGCUUAAAUCAGCAAAAUUCCUGGACGGAAGCAUUUCACCUGGCCAAGGAUCAGGCCACCACACUCCUCAAGUCACCUAUGCUUGGGAGAAAAGUACUGUGUUUAUCUUCGUUUAUAGCUGCCCCCAAAGUGAUCAUGUUUUAUGAUGUAAAUUAAAUCAAGUGGUCUUUAAAAAGUAUGUGUUGAAGCCUACUGCUCCUUUCUGUUGUCUCUGGGUCUAAAAUAGAAUUACUGAGAGAAUUUGAGUUGUUUUAAUAUCGGAGUAGGCAUCAUAACUGAU